CCGGGGCUCCCGCCGCCCUGCCCGCCCGUUCCCCUCCUCACGCCCCGGGGCAGGAUCCCGCGGCCCUGCCCUCCUCACUCCCCCCCCCCGGCUCUCUCGUCCCCCUAGCCCGUUUCCCCUCACGCCCCGGGCCUCUCGUCCAUCUACCCGCCCGCUCCGCCUCGCGCCCGGGAGCUCUCGUCUCGCUGCCCGCCUGGUUCCCCUCACGCCCCGGGGUUCCCGGAGCUCUCGUCCCGCUGCCCGCCUGGUUCCCCUCACGCCCCGGGGCUCUCGUCUCGCUGCCCGCCUGGUUCCCCUCACGCCCCGGGGCUCCCGGAGCUCCCGUCCCCCUGCCCUCCUGAUUCUCCUCACGCCCCGGGGCUCCCGCAGCCCUGCCCUCCUCACGCCCCGGGGCUCUCGUCCCCCAGCCCGUUCCCCCUCACGCCCCGGGGCUCUCGUCCCCCAGCCCUCCCCGGGCGCGGGCGGGCGGCUGCGGCCGGAGCGAUAACGGGGGAUUUGUGAGGGAGGCACGAGGGAACCGCCGCGGGGCUGAGGGCGCUGCGAGGGGCCGCGGGGGAAUGUGAGGGAGCAGAGCCGAGAACGGAGGGUCUGGAGCGUCUCCCCGAUGAGGAGAGACCGCGGGAGCUGGGCCUCGUUAUUAUGGAGAAGAGAAGGCUGAGCAGGUGUGUUGGCAGCUCCUGUGAGCAAUAUUUGGGCACCUGGAGUUUGAGGAGGUUUGCUGUUGAACCCGACACGCUUCUGACUUCUGUGGUGUUCCUUCUUGGCUGCCAUGUGGGCUCACACACGCCCCUAGGAACGUGUUGGGUGGUUCCCAGACACAGGUGGGAGAUUUUUAGGUCAUUUGGUCUAAAGGAGACUCACCCUGUGUAGCCAGUGAUUUAACUACCCCAGUGCAACACAGGGAAAACAUUCGAAGGACGUUUACAAACAAAACAAAAAAAAGAAAAAGCAGAGUGUGGUGAGGGAUUGUUGUUGAGGGAAAAAGCCCUCAGCCUGUCUGUCUGUCUGUCUGCUGGAAUCUGAGCUUUUGAAGCUGCAGCUGGGCCUCUGAGCCCCUCACGUGUCCAGCGUCUGGAGGGACAUCUGGGUGUCAUCGGAGGGGAAGGGGAGGCAGACAAGCUCUGUGAUGGGACCACAGUUCCAGGAAGGCUGGAUGAAAAACAUGGAAUCUGUUUCAUGUGCUGCCAGAGUGUUGUUUGCAUGUUUUCCUCAAAGUUCAGGGGUCCCAUUCUGAAUGAGAUGUGAGAGCCAGUGCCCUUAUGGUCAGACCUCAGGGAAUGUGGAG